rnacentral:tRNA from 1 species
UCCCUGGUGGCUCAGCUGGUAAAGAAUCUGCCUGCAAAGCAGAAGAUCUGGAUUCAAUCCCUGGGUUGGGAA